UCUUUGACUCGAUCACUCAAAAUUGUUUUAGGGCGUCCCAUUUUAGGGGAUAGUUUAAGUAACUUUGUUACUAUGAAAACUUUUUUGAUAGACCAUGUUCUUAAUAAAAAUUGACGGAAUGAGCAGUGGUUGUCCUGUUUGACUAAUUUAUAUGUUUAGAAAAUAAGAAUUAGCCGACUUUAAUUCCUACUUAGAUUUUUACCAAUACAAAAGACCGAAAUGCAGAUAACAACAGUCGGAUUAUUUAUAUUUCUCAAAGAAUCAACAUUGAAAAAUAUCAAUUCCUUAUCUUAUCUUUAUCUAUUUAAUGAUGAACAAUGAAAGUUCCUUCUGUUUCAACACGUGUUAGAAAAAUAAACAACCUUUCAAAAAUUAUGUACAAUAGAAAACUUUCUGUAAAAUCUUUCCAUGCCUUAUUUACUACGUAACUACCUACUUAUUUACGGGCGAGUUAAGCACCUGCAGGUAUUUCGCGGAAAUACACAAAAACUCCAUAUUUCACAUUUAUCGCAUUUAUGUUCAAAAUUUCGCCGAAAUUCGCACCUAUUUCGUAAAAACGAAAAUUCCGUACCCCUAAUUAUAAUAAAACAGUUGGUCCAGAAUCAUUGGUCGCGUUCACCAGAAUAAUCCGAGUGCAAUCCGAUUAAUUUGCGCUGAAACGCUGACAGUUUUUUUACUAGUGAACGACUGACGUUUGACAUUCGAUUGAGAGUGUUCUGUGUUCCAUUUGUUUAUGUUUUUAUUCUUUGUUUAUAUAAUUUAUAACCUAAACCUAGACAGUUUUGUUUUUAUUUUAAAUAAAACUGAAACUGUCUAAACUAAAAUGGAUAAUAUUCUUGAAGAACUUUUGUUUGGGGACGAAAUUAGCAAAUGCCGUUAUACAUUUAGCAGAUGUACCUACCUCAAAUUAUUCCAGAAGGAUGAGAUGAAAUUAAAUAUAUAUAAACCAUAAUUCAAUAUCCAAUUUAGAGAACAUUUUCGUAUGUCCAGAACUACUUUCCAGGAACUAUUUAAUUGUAUUGGUCAUAUCCACCAAUUUGAAAACAGAAUAAUUCUAUUGGAAAAAAUUAAUGUUUAUGAUGUGGAUGCUAAGUAAACCAGAUAAUUUGUUGCUGGGGAUACGUUUGGUUUGCCAAAGAGCUCUGGACAUAAGAUUUUCACCCAAAUAAUAUAGAAUUACAAAAAAUUGGAAAUAACUAAUCUUGAAUAUCAAUGUGUAUAUUGAGUUUAAUUUUAUUGUAAAUAUUCUAUAAUAUAAUUUUAUUGUAAAUAUUGUAUUAACACAUUUGUGGACACAUUUUCAUAUGCAGACAGUAAUUUCCCUUUGUAAGUACAUGCAUAUAUAGUCGUAUCUGCGAAUGGGUUAAUUGUAAAUCGUAAUCAAUAAAAAUUUUUUGUGAAUCAAUAAAAAACUGGUUUGUUUGAAAAUAAAUGUAGUACAAAUGUG